rnacentral:lncRNA from 1 species
CCGGGUUUACAAAAUAACAAUUCCUCUUCAAAUAACUUGAAGUUCCUAUUUAAGAUCCGGAACCAAACGACUACGAGUCUUCAAACUAAGAUCUGUAUCUCCAAAAAUAUACUUUUAAAUGGUUGUGUUCAAAAAUAGGUACAGUACUUUACUAACUUCUCUCAUUUAUCAGUUUAUGAAUUCUCGAAUAUUGUAGCGUAUAUUGUUAUUGAAUUUUUAUGUAAUAUUUUCCAGGAAAAAGACG